rnacentral:lncRNA from 1 species
UUUUUUUUUUUGCCUGCCCCUCAGCAUAUGGAGUUCCUGGACCAGGGAUCAGAUCUGAGCUGCAGUUGUGACCUAUGCCAAAGCUGUAGCAAUGCUGGAUCCUUUCCCCCACGGUGCCUGGUGGGGAUCGAACCUGCAUCCUGGCACUGCAGAGAUGCUGCUGAUCCCACUGCACCACGGCGGAAACUCUGUCUUUCCAUUUUAAAUCUCCUCUCAAUCAGAAAACUUCAGCUCCCUGGUCCCUCCUCUGUUAGAAGCUCAGGGCACAUCCACAGCUCAGCCAAGGGCCCUGCACAUGGAGCCACGGUCCUCAAGCUGCAUGGAAAGCUGCAAGGCAGGACCAUAACCAUUUCCUUCUCUGUGACAAACUUCUAGGUCAGGGCUCCAUCCUUAGGAACAAAGGAGGUCCCAGGGGCGGUGUGUGGCUGUUUCACUUUCCACGCUGUCCUCUGCAUGGGGCCAGAAGCACUUCAAAGACAGAGACGGUCUGAUGCGUUGCCCCAGGCCCAUUUCUGCCCAGAACCUGGGAAGGAUGAUGGAAGAGAGGAAAUGAAUGGAUGGAUGAUGACCCAGCGCAGACACCAAGAGGAAGGUGGGAGGAGCAAGGGGGCACUUUGGAGUUGAAUUUACUGAUUGUCACACAUUCCUGGAGGGGUCCGGUCAUGUGGAAAAGCACAUGUCUAUCUCUUUGGGGUAUGGAUCAAUCAUCUGACCCAUCACUGUGGUCGACCGUAUUCACUCCUUUCCUGCACCCCGUGAGCAGAAUAUACACCCUUAAUCCAUGGCCUUGGACUUGGCCGUGUGACUUGCUUUAACCAAUGGGCCUGAGUGGGUUGACAGUGAGGCCAUCCUGAGCAGAGAACUCCAGAUGCAUUGCCUAUGGGUGUUCUUGCUCCCAUGCCUCCAGUGUUGGUCAUGAGAUGAUCUCACUCUGAGAGGACCAAGAACUGGAGACACAGGGGGUAGAUUCAGAUUCAAGCCCAGCUGAGCCACAUACCAGGGAGUGAAAAAUAACCAUUUGUUGUUGUAAGCCACUGAGUCUAGGGGACAGUGUUUGUUAUCUAGUACAUACUGACUCAUAAGGGCAUCUAGUCUAACCUCUGCCCAAUGCAUAAACCACUCCUCACCAUUUCUGCCAAUUGGAAAUCAAGCCUCGGCUUGCAUACCCCCAGUGAUGGUGAGCUCACACCUCACAAAGCUGCUUAAUCCCAUCUCUGGACAGUUAGAUCCCAAACCAUGUCCCCCUACCUGCAUUCAUGCAUUAGUCCUAGAUCCCUCUCUCCCUCCUUCCUGGCCUCAAAAAGCAAGACCACACCAGCACAACGUGACAGAGGCUAAAGCAGUAUGAUGUUGCAGCCCUACCCCCUGCCUCCUCCUCGGACCUCCAGCUGUUCCUAUACCACAAGGUCUCUCAUGCCUUCACCUCUCUACCUGCUUUCCUAGCCCACUGUCCUCCACAAACACAGAGCCUGAACUGACCAUUGCAGCUCCUCAGCAUGAGCAGUGGCCAGACCCUCAUCUCUAUCGAUCUAGACAGUAUGCCUCUGUGGGAAAUGCCUGGUUAAAAGCACACUCUGGAGCUGGACAGACCUGGGCAAAUCCCAGCCCAGCCGCCACCUGUUGUAUCCUCUUGGGCAUGCCAUCACUUUAUUCUUGGAACCUCCAUUUUCUCAUCUGCAAAAUGAGGGCAAUAAUUGCCUCUACCUUAUAAAAGCAAUAGUACGCACCAUACACUUAGCAUAAUGCCCAUUGCAUAGAAGGCACUCAGUCUUAGCAGAACAAUUACAAGACUAAUUGUUUACUCUGGACGCCUAUUGAACGUACUCUUACCCACCUUUCUUGAACAAUGUUUUCUUUGAAAAUGGGUUUUUUGCAUUAUAUUAAAAUACUCGUACAACACCAGAAAGAACAAAGAGAGAACAUCUAAUCACCCAGAGACAACACUGUUAAAAUAUUAGCCAACGUCCUUUUGCAGAGAUGUUUGAUUUUUCCUGAGACAAGUACUACCCCUCGCCUGCCUCACGCAGUCCUGAGGGAGGGAGCAGGGGCAACAGAAUGAAACAGCUUUUGGGGUUAUGCAGGCUACUCGAAUUCCAGCUUUGUCACUUUCUGCUGUGUGACCCUGGCUCAGUAAUUUCACCUCUUGGAGCCUGAUGGCAUCUCUGGAAUGUGAAGGGAUUUUUUUUAACAGCUUUAUUGAGAUAUAAUUCACAUAUCAUACAAGUCACCCUUAAGAUAUAUAAUUUUGGAGUUCCCACUGUGGCUCAGUGGGUUAAGAAUCUGACAUAGUGUCCGUGAGACUGCAGGUUCGAUGAUCCCUGGCUUCACUCAGUGGGUUAAGGAUGCUGUGUUGCUGUGGUGGUGGUGUAGGCCCACAGCUACAGCUCUGAUUUCACACCUGGCUGGGGAACUUCCAUGUGCCACAUGUGCAGCCAUAAAAAAGCCAUCAUAUAAUAUACUAUCUUUUAUGACUGACUCAUUUCCUUAAUGUUUUCAAGAUGCAUCCCUGCUGUGUGAGGGGAUUUUUUUUUUUUUUAAUUAUUAACCUGGACGUUUUCACAUGCCACCAUCACUCCAAAGAACCAGGGCUGGCAAUAUUAACCCUGUAAGCAUCCAUAAAUGGUAAAGUCCAGGUAUCUUCCAACCUUUUGAAUUCAGUUCUCAUAACAAACCCAUGAGAGGGUUUGGGGCAUUUUACAGAUGGGAAAACAGAGGCUCCUUAAGUGGGAGUCCAAGGAAUUCCUGCAAAGAAUGUUCACUGUCUGCUCACCUUGUACGGCUCUGUCCACAAACUAGACCUCAGCAGGCAGCAGUCGCCAGAAUCCCCAGAGGAUGCUCCAGCUGUUCCAUCCUCAUGGUUUCAUUCCCCACACUCUUGGCUCUAGACCUCUGGGUCAGAGGUUUCCAAAUCACACUGAGAUCAUGUUUAUUUUAACGUCUUUUACUGGCUUUUAAAAUAGCUGAGGGCUAUAAAGCUCUUCGAAGAAAACAGGGGGAAACUUUACGGCAUUCGAUUGGGCAAUGAUUUCUCAGAUUAUGAUACCAAAAGCACAGACAAAAGUAAAAAUGAAUAUAUUGGACUAUAUCAAAAUUUAACACUUCGGCACAUCAAAGGAUACAAACCACAGAGUGAAAAGGCAACCCACUAGGAGAAAAUAAUUGCAAAUCUUGUAUCCAAUAAGGGCUUAAUAUCAGAGUAUAGAGAGAACGAAUACAACUCUACAACAAAAGAACAAACAGCCCAAUUGCAAAGUGGACAAAGGACUUCGACGGACAGUCCUUCGAAGAAGGUAACAUGGAAUGAAAUCUUGCUGUUCACUACAACACGGGCGGACCCUGAGAAUAUUCUGCUAUGAGAGAUAAGGCAGACAAAGAAAGAUGAAUAUGGUAUGAUCUCUCAUACGUGGACUCUAAAAACAUAAAACCAGCAAACACAAGAAAACAAAACUCAUGGAUCCAGAAAACAGAAUGAUGGUUACCAGGAGUGAAGGGGAUGAAAGGGUGGAGGAAAUGCAGAGGGUCAAGAGGUACAAACUUCUU